AGGCCCCUUCAAAAACGAGCCGCCUUCCUGGGCUGAGCCCCACUGCUCUGCUUCUGCUUUGCUCCCUGGGUGCCCCCAGCAGGCCCCGCAUGCCUGACCCAGCACCACUCCACUUCUUGCCCCGUGAGAGUGCAGCUACAGUUAGUGAAGCAAACAGUUUGAGAGAGCAAAGUCCAGCUGGAGCACAGAAGAGGUGGGGUGGAGGCCGGCGCUAGAAGGACACCGCGUCACUGAAGGUUUCCCAGGUGGUACGCCCAAGUCCCGCAGUGCUGCGCUCCGUGUAUUUGACAAGCUGAGUUUGACACUCAAUGUGGCAGAGUGUCAGUUUGUCAAAUACCCCAAGUGAGGCAUUUGCUUAGCAACACACAUCAGCACCAGAGAAGAUUGAUUAUUGCAUCUGACUGGGAUGGGAGUCUUUUGUUUAAUAUUUUCUCUCCGCUGAAAAUACGAAGUGCUAUCUAAUAACUGCAUACUAUGCUUUGCUUCUUGUGCUAGCAGAUUUCCUUAGUGCCCCAAAUUCAGAAGCAUCUGUUUGAACAUGCAUUUGAAUGGUGAGUUUCUACAGAAAUAGGGCCAAAUUUUUGCUGGCACACUUCCACUGAGUUACACAAGCCGAGAAUUUUGCCCAGAAUUACUUAUUUCUUCAGUCUGUAGCCAAAGUCAAUGCUAGUAACUGAAGUAAUGGUGGCAACUAGUAGGUGAUAAGUUGAGUUGUUGCGUGACAAUGGUUUAGUAUAUUCAUCUAAGCUAAAGGUUAAGGCGGUUGUGAUCCCACUUACAACAGCACUGCCAAUAACAGAGAAUUUCUUCAUCAGAUGUGUUGAAAUAUUUUUGUAUAAUCAUAGAAGAUGGAGAAGAAAUAGACUUAUAGGACCGUUAUUUCAUUUCCCCUCUUCUCCACCAGCCAAUAUAAGGUUAUUCCCUGCAGUGAAUUCUCCUGUGGUUUGAUUAGUCCAAUUUUAAAUGACUCAAGCGAAGGAGCUUUCAUCACUUUGCUUGGAAGUCCUAGUAAAAUAAAUCUCAUGUUUAGGAGAAGCCUCCUUCUCUUCAGCCAGUUACUCCCAGUAAGAUCUCCUAGCAGUGUUACCUAUUAUAUUUGCUGUACCUCUGCUAUUGUAUUGAAGCUAUACUAAGCCAGCUCAGAUGAAGAAGACCUAUUUAUUGGCCUACAUUUUCAAAAGUAACCUGUGAUUUUGUGAUUUAGCCCACGAAAGCUUAUGCCCAAAUAAAUUUGUUAGUCUCUAAGGUGCCACAAAUACUCCUCGUAUUUUUUGCUGAUACAGUCUAACACGGCUACCACUCUGAAACUUGUGAUUUUGGGUGAGACAUCAUAAAGAGGUCUGAUUUUCAGAGGUUGAGGUGCUCCACAUAUUUAGAAAAAUCAGGUCCCUUUAUGGUGUCUCCAGUUGGACACUCAAAAACUGAGCCAGAACCCAAAAUCCCUUUUGAAAAUUCAGGCCAUUGUUACUUUGCUAGUGUAAAGGGCUUGUCAGAAAACCCUUCUCACUGUUACUGGAGCAGUAUCAGCAGCCAAUUGUGCAAUUAAGUUAUAUAUAUAUAUAUAUAUAUAUAUGAUACAGAUUUCAUCCUUAACUCUCCUUUUUUCUUUAGAUUACAACCAUUUAUUGUAAAAUGUUCUGGAGAUGCUGGGCUUUGUAUGAAGAAUGCUAUCUGUAAAUAAAUGGUAUUGCCUUUCUAAGUGAA